rnacentral:rRNA from 1 species
UACGGGGGGGGCAAGCGUUGUUCGGAAUUACUGGGCGUAAAGGGCUCGUAGGCGUCCAACUAAGUCAGACGUGAAAUCCCCAGGCUCAACCUGGGAACUGCGUCUGAUACUGGAUGGCUUGAAUUCGGGAGAGGGAUGCAGAAUUCCAGGUGUAGCGGUGAAAUGCGUAGAUAUCUGGAGGAAUACCGGUGGCGAAGGCGGCAUCCUGGACCGACAUUGACGCUGAGGAGCGAAAGCUAGGGGAGCAAACGGG